rnacentral:rRNA from 1 species
AUGUUGGAACUGCUGGGGGGGAACCGCCGGACAGUUCGUGAGGUUUUGGCCCUCUCAAAAGCCAAUUCCCGGGGGCUCAUAUUCUUAUCUGAAACCAUACAAGCCUCAAAUAAAAUGGAGCGGCUCAACUGGAGAUUACAGAUGAAGGGUUUUGUGGGGGUGUCGAGCCAGGGUCUAAGUGGAGGCCUCGCCCUUUACUGGGACGAAAGCUUGCAAGUCACGGUUCUAGAUGCUUGUGCACGGUAUAUAGAUGUGCGGAUAGUGGAUGCAGCGAAUGACAAGUCAUGGAGGACAACUUUUCACUAG